rnacentral:rRNA from 1 species
CUUGGUCAUUUAGAGGAAGUAAAAGUCGUAACAAGGUCUCCGUUGGUGAACCAGCGGAGGGAUCAUUACCGAGUUUACAACUCCCAAACCCAUGUGAACAUUACCUCUAUGUUGCUUCGGCGGAGCCGCCCCGGCGCCCGGAACCCCCUGCGGUCCCGCGGCCCGGAACCAAGGCGCCCGCCGGAGGCCACAAACUCUUCUGUUUUUACAGUUUCUUCUGAGUGUGCUGCAAGGCAGUAUACAAAUGAAUCAAAACUUUCAACAACGGAUCUCUUGGUUCUGGCAUCGAUGAAGAACGCAGCGAAAUGCGAUAAGUAAUGUGAAUUGCAGAAUUCAGUGAAUCAUCGAAUCUUUGAACGCACAUUGCGCCCGCCAGAAUUCUGGCGGGCAUGCCUGUUCGAGCGUCAUUUCAACCCUCGAGCUCCCCUUUCGGGGGGAGCCCGGCGUUGGGGACCCGGCGCUAACAACGCCGGCCCCGAAAUGGAGUGGCGGCCCGUCCGCGGCGACCUCUGCGUAGUAACAACCACUCGCACCGGGACCCGGGCGCGGCCACGCCGUAAAACACCCCACCUUCCGAAUGUUGACCUCGAAUCAGGUAGGAAUACCCGCUGAACUUAAGCAUAUCAAUAAGCGGAGGA